UAUGCACCUAUGGGGCCAAAUGCACUUUUUAUUCUUAGAUUUGACCACCACAGAGAAUUAACAAAUAGAUCAACCUAACAAAGAUAUACUUGGUGUUCUUGUCUCUCGCCUUGGAAGUAUGCUGACAAUCUCCAGCGUGUUGUUUCUACUGGAUGCCUCUAGUUCCUCCCCAGAUGCCACCAUUCUCUCUUGAAGUCACUCCAAUCAAGCUUUCCUCUGUUCACUCUACAGAAACUGUUCUUAUCAUGGACACCAGUGACUUCUCCAGGUGAGCUGUAAACGUUUCUAAACACUGUAGCUCAUCUCCUUAAUUUGAGUGAGUACCAAGAAGAGGAACACUAUGCUUCGUGCAGUCGCCGACAUCGAAUUGCCUGGAACAUUCGGUAAAUCACUCAGUCACCCUGCUCUUCAGUUAUUUUAUGUGUUAAAUAAAGAAGCUGGCUCAGAAUUGUCAUUAAGAUCACUUCCA